UCAGGUCUUCACUCCUCCAUAUCAAUUCAUAUAGCUGCUGAUUAUCUACUUGAUGAAGCUACAAAUUUGUGGGGCAAAAAUCUUAGUUUGAUGUAUGAUCGAGUCCUAAAACACCCCGAUCGUGUCACAAAUUUGUAUUUCACUUUUCUCUUUGUCUUGCGAGCAGUAACCAAAGCUUCAGAUUAUCUGGAACAGGCUGAGUACGAUACUGGUAAUCCUAACGAGGACCUUAAGACACAAUCCUUGAUAAAACAACUACUUUACAACC